UAUUGUUAUUUUGGCAGAUUAGUGCAUUAAAUUUAGAAUUUAAUUAAGUAAUAAUUAUUACAAAUAAUAC
rnacentral:tRNA from 1 species